rnacentral:lncRNA from 1 species
UUUUUUUGAUCAAAACAGAAGCAUGACAUUUAAGAGCAAACCAGGUUACAACCCUUAAAGAGGGCAUCAGUACAAAGCAAAUUGAAGAGAGAAAUGGGCGGAUCAAGAGCCCAAUUCAGAAGCAGAGACCCUCGGCCUUGGGCCUUGGCGAUCCAGUCGGCAGCCAAAUUAGCUUCACGGCGACAGUGCUGAAGAAGAAAAUUAGGGCACUCACGAAGAAGGGUUGAGGCGUGCUCGAGCGAAGAUUGACAAACCUGUGACGGCCGCCAGCGGUGAUUCACAGUUUCCACCAACUCCAGACAAUCUGAUUCAAGGAUCAGGUGAGUAUUUCCAAAACCCUGUCGCAAUAGAAAUUGGAGGGUGGAUAAUAAGGCUAGGGUUUCUGUUUGAAGGGGUGAGGAGGCCUGAACGUUCUGGGCAUAGCCGUCGAGCAAGGUGCCGUUAUGAUCACGACACAAGCACGCAAUCGACCCUACUUCAGAGGCAUCAGGGAGGGCUCCAUCCAAAUUCACUUUAAUGGAACCAGGUUCAGGGGGGAUCCAUCCACUGAGAGGAUUCGGAGAGGCCAUUGAUGAAGCCGGAUUUGACUUGGAGCAAGAGAGAUACAGCCGAGCUGAAGUGAGAGCCGAAUCAACGAUCUGUUGAGGGCUGGAGAACUGUCGCUGGAAGAUAAAUAGGUUGCGGGCCUUCCAAAGCUGCCAGAGAAGGGAAGCAAUGACUUCUAAACCAGGUAAGAGAGAUCUAUGCCCAAUUAGAUCAGUCAACCAUGCAUCCAUUCGAUGAGUGCAAAAUGCUGAGACUGUAAUAUGUAUGUGAGGAUGGGACCAAACCUGUUGUGAUCUAGGGCAGAGCAGUAGAAGAUGUUCCAGAGUUUCUAGGACUUGAGAUAGGCAAACAGGGCAUGUUGGAUCAUCUGUGAUAUGGCGCCUGUGAAGAUUUUCCUUAGUUGGAAGCGUAUUGUGACAGAUAGACCAUAGGAAUAUUCGGAUUUUGGGUGCCGUCUGAAUUUUCCAAAUCUGUUGCCAAAGGCGUCGCGGUGUGGUAUAGGAUGAUGAGGGCCGAGUAUUUCUGAUAAAGUGACUUGACUGAUGAAUAUGAUGGUAGCCACUUUUAACUGAAUAUGUACCUGUAUGUGUGUCUUUCCAUAGAAUUUGGUCUGGGAUAGGCUCGAGAAAGACAGACUGCAGAAGAGCGAGAGAGAAGGAGGGAGGGAGGGACAGGAGAAUCAUGAAUGUCGGGGCAGUGCGGGGAGAAAUAAUUGGGGCCGUCCCCUCCGAUUCCGGACGCGUCUUGUCCGCACCGGAUUCCUCCUCCGUACGCCUCCGCCCUCACCGCAUUCCUCGCUCCACCAACCCCCCCUCUCUCCCCCUCCCCCACCGCCGUCCGAUGAUCUCUUCGUCUCGAGCCUUGGCGAAAUAGACGGCGGCGAUCAACGUGGGGACGGUUCGGAGGGGGCAAGAAAAAGGGGGAAAAGCACGUUGAAAUUCGAUCAUCUCUGAUUGGGGCGGAACCGAGAAAGUAUGAUGGUUUCUGAAAGACCAUCUCGGCUUUGGGUGAAAAUGGGGGAAGGGGGAAUUCUUCCUUGUGGACCCGAGUUGAUUGAACCAUGUGGAAUAUAUCAACAAACUCAUCUCAUGGGUUUUCACAUGUAGAAACUGGGGAAUAGAGUGAAUGGCCAUGAUAGAGCCAAUCAUUCUAAUUUUGAAAUUUAAAGUUGG